GCCUCCAUGGCCCAAUGGACAAGGCACUAGUCUAUUGAAUCAGAGAUUUUAAGUUCGAUUCUCAGUAGAGUUG
rnacentral:tRNA from 1 species